rnacentral:lncRNA from 1 species
AAGAAGAAAUGUCAAAUACUCAAUACUACAACAACAAUGACAUACCCAGUGUAGUCCUACAAGUAGGGUCUGGAGAGGGUAGGAUGUACGUAAACCUUACCCCUACCUUUGUGGGGUAGAGAGGUUGCGCCCGAUAGACUCUCAGCUCAGAAGAAAAGAUUUCAAAGCAGGAAGACAAAUAUGUCAAAUACUCAUAGAUUACCAAAACUAUCCGUUGAAACUCUGUGUAAAUAUAUUUGAAAAGGCAACAGCUCAAUAUCAUCAAAUGAUUCACAAUUUCACAGUUUGAUGAGAAAAUCAUUUUCAAAAGUUCCCCAGUUAGUAUCUCCAAGCUCGUUUCAUUAUGAAAUGGGGAACAAGAAACAAGGGGUGUACUUGAUGGACAAUGGUAAGUUAAUAUCUUUUGUCUAGUCAUAACAUAUUUAGCUUCUGUCCAUAAAGUUGUUAUCUAACCUCUCGGGUGAAUUCAGAAUCUCAUAGUAGAAAACUGAGAAGUUCAACGCGAGUCCAAG